rnacentral:rRNA from 1 species
GCCAGACUCCUACGGGAGGCAGCAGUGAGGAAUAUUGGUCAAUGGACGCAAGUCUGAACCAGCCAAGUAGCGUGCAGGAUGACGGCCCUCCGGGUUGUAAACUGCUUUUAGUUGGGAAUAAAAGGGGGCUCGUGAGCCCCGUAUUGUAUGUACCAUCAGAAAAAGGACCGGCUAAUUCCGUGCCAGCAGCCGCGGUAAUACGGAAGGUCCGGGCGUUAUCCGGAUUUAUUGGGUUUAAAGGGUGCGUAGGCGGCGCUUCAGGUCAGCGGUGAAAUACCGGGGCUCAACCCCGGGGCUGCCGUUGAAACCGGAGCGCUAGAAUUCCGAUGCCGUCGGAGGAAUGUGUGGUGUAGCGGUGAAAUGCAUAGAUAUCACACAGAACACCGAUUGCGAAGGCAUCUGACGAAUCGGAGAUUGACGCUGAUGCACGAAAGCGUGGGUAUCGAACAGGAUUAGAUACCCCAGUACA